CAACUUUCAACAACGGAUCUCUUGGCUCUCGCAUCGAUGAAGAACGCAGCGAAAUGCGAUAAGUAAUGUGAAUUGCAGAAUUCAGUGAAUCAUCGAAUCUUUGAACGCACCUUGCGCUCCUUGGUAUUCCGAGGAGCAUGCCUGUUUGAGUAUCAUU
rnacentral:rRNA from 4 species